rnacentral:rRNA from 1 species
GAUGAACGCUGGCGGCGUGCCUAAUACAUGCAAGUCGAGCGAACAGACGAGGAGCUUGUUCCUUUGACGUUAGCGGCGGACGGGUGAGUAACACGUAGGUAACCUACUUAUAAGACUGGGAUAAUUUCGGGAAACCGGAGCUAAUACCGGAUAAUAUUUCGAACCGCAUGGUUCGAUAGUGAAAGAUGGCUUUGCUAUCACUUAUAGAUGGAUCUGCGCCGUAUUAGCUAGUUGGUAAGGUAACGGCUUACCAAGGCAACGAUCCGUAGCCGAGCUGAGAGGGUGAUCGGCCACACUGGAGCUGAGACACGGUCCAGACUCCUACGGGAGGCAGCAGUAGGGAAUCUUCGGCAAUGGGCGAAAGCCUGACGGAGCAACGCCGCGUGAGUGAUGAAGGUCUUCGGUUCGUAAAGCUCUGUUAUUGGGGAAGAACAGACGUGUAAGUAGCUGUGCACGUCUUGACGGUACCUAAUCAAGAAGCCACGGCUAACUACGUG